UGCUGUGCAUCUCACACAAUCUUCGUAAAUAUCGCAUCAGGAAAUUGCUUUUCGUGGAUCGAUACCAUGGUCAAUUGACUCAGUUUAGUGCGCUGUACCUCAAUAAGAUACGGGUUAGUGUUCAGUUCAAGCCUAAUUUUUUGUUAAUCGCACAUCAACAAUUUCACCCAAAAUGGCGCUGUACCUCAAGAAGAUACGGGUUAGUGUUCAGUUCAAGCCUAAUUUUUUGUUAAUCGCACAUCAACAAUUUCACCCAAAAUGGCGUCCAUAUUUGUUUAGCUACUUUCCCAACUUAUUUGGCGUUGUUUGAUUGGCCUGACAGUUUAAGAAAGAAAGAAGUAGUUUUGAAGCAUGUAGCUUGUGUGGUUAUAAAUCUAUAGUAAAGUAGAAAGUUUAAAGUUAAAUUACUUUUAAAUAUAUGGAAUGGAAUCAUUCUUUUUUGACAAACUUUAAUUUCAAAAGUAUGCUUCAUAAAUUGUAAAGUCGAAAUAGUAUGCUAUUGGAAGUACUGUGUAUACCAAACUAUAUUAGCUUACCAUAGUUAAGUGAUUUAAUGAAGUGAGAGUAUAUGUUAAUUGGCCAUGGUAAAGUGAGA
rnacentral:lncRNA from 1 species